rnacentral:rRNA from 1 species
UUCCGUCAUUUGUCGCAACGGUGUCGAAAUGGGACAAAAUUUGGCAGGUUGAUUGGAAACAGCCUGAGAAAUUGAACUCGAUGCACAGACCUGGGAUCAUGGGAUUUUAGCCAAAUUCCUUUGUUUAGGCCUCCGAAUAAUUAAACUCAAAAACCCAUUCUCAGUUCGGAUUGUAGGAUGCAACUUACCUGCAUGAAGCCAGAAUCGCUAUUAAUCACUGAUCAGCCAUAUAGUGAUGAAUUCGUUCUUGAGACUUGUACACAUCGCAUGUCACACUAUGGGAGAUGCCCAUGCCCGAAGUCAUUACCUUAACCAUAAGGAUGGGAUGCUGAAGGUAGGGCUAGAGAUUGGUGUGAAGUUGCAAAAAGGUAGCCAUACUGGAAGGUGUGGCUG